UACGGGGGGAGCAAGCGUUGUUCGGAUUUACUGGCGUAAAGGGCGCGUAGGCGGCCAGCACAAGUCAGUUGUGAAAUCUCCGAGCUUAACUCGGAAAGGUCAACUGAUACUGUGCGGCUAGAGUGCAGAAGGGGCAACUGGAAUUCUUGGUGUAGCGGUGAAAUGCGUAGAGAUCAGGAGGAACACCUGUGGUGUAGACAGCUUACUGGACGGUCACUGACGCUGAGGCACGAAAGCGUGGGUAGCAAACAGG
rnacentral:rRNA from 1 species